CAGUUCUGGAAGCUGCGCAGUCCAAGGUCAAGGCACCUGCAUGUGGUGUCUACUGAGAGCCUUCUUGCUGCACCCUCUUGUGUCCGGAAUUGGUGGGUUCUUGGUCUCACUGACUUCAAGAAUGAAGCCGGGACCCUCGCGGCAAUAUUUCUUUAAAAUAUCUCUGAUUUGGGUCUUCAAAAAACAAGCUACGUCUUGAAUAGGAGAAUCAGAAUUGAUGUUGUUAAAGACUGGCUAUGCUAUUUGGAAUUGCCAUGGGAGACUGGUACUGCUUCAAAGGAAUUUAAACUGUUUAUGAAGAGAGUCAAACUCUGUAAAAUAUUUGAAGAGAUUUACUCUGAGCCAAAUACGAGUGACAUGGCCUGUGACACAGCCUUCAGGAGGACCUGAGAACAUGUGACCAAGACUGUCGGGGCACAUCUUCGUUUUACGUUUCAGGGAGACAUGAGAUAUCAAUCAAGUACAUUUAAGAUAUACAUUCCUUUGGUCCAGAAAGUAGCUUUUGCCCCUUUCAAGUGGAGUCCUGCCUUUGACCACAUUGCGGGAGCUCAAUCUCUUCACUGAAUUGACAGAUCAAAAGACCUAGGAAUUUUUUCCAGAAAUCCUGGCAUUGUUAACUACACUCCGGCCUGCCAUGUUUGUCUGUGAAAGUACAGGAAACUGCUUUGAGGAGAUGCAAAAGGAGAUAAAUGAUCUCCAUGACCAAGGUCCCAAGACAACCCUCUGAGGAUGAAUAGCAUCAAGGAACAAGCUCUGGCUGAGGUCCCAGAAAUCCUCGUUUCUCCGAGAAGAACUGUCCCUUAAACGUCUAAAGGAUCGCACCCAGGAUACCACGCUGCAGUGAGUCAUCAAGUCUCCUUGGACUCCUCUGGCUGUGACAGUUUCUCAGAAUUUCCUUGCUUUUUAUGACCAUGAUGGUUCUGAGAAGAACUGCUUAGGUAUUUUUUAGAAUGCCCUGCAAUUUGGGCUUGUCUGGCGCCUUUCUCAUGAUUAGACUAAGGUUAGGUGUUUGGGGGAGGAAGAUCACAGAGGCAAAGUGCCGUGUUCCUCACAUCACAUUAAGGGUACAACUCUCAACACGACUUAUGUGAAGGAAAAUAUCUUGGGCCCUUAAAAUGACUACGCUAAAGGGAAAAGUCCAGCUGGGAACUGCUUAGGGCCAAACUGCCUCCCAUUCUGUUCAAAGUCACCCCUCUGCUCACUGAGAUAAAUGCAUAUCUGAUUGCCUCCUUUGGAGAGGCUCAUCAGAAACCCAACAGAAUGCAGCCAUUUGUCUCUUAUCUACCCAUGACCUGGGAGCCCUGUCCCCACUUUGAGUUGUCCCGUCUUUCCGGACCAAACCAAUGUUCAUCUUACAUACGUUGACUGAUGUCUCAUGUCUCCCUAAAGUGUAUAAAACCAAGCUGUGCUCUGACCACCUUGGGCACAUGUUGUCAGGACCUCCUGAGGCUGUGUCACGGACACGUGUCCUCAACAUUGACAAAAUAAACUUUCUAAAUUAACUCAGACCUGUCUCAAAUAUCCGGGGUUCACAUUUUUGUAACCAUGGAGGGAUUCUGAGUUGUGGGAUAUGAUGAGGUUUCUCUUCAAAUAGCCUGAUCAAUCCUUUAUUCUUUAAUUCAUAGUACCUCCCCACACAUACACACACACUCCUUUUUCCUUUUUCUCUUUUUUCCUUUCUGCCUUCGUUACACGCCCGGACACGCCACAGUACCAGGCUUAUCAGUACCAGCUCACAUUCCUUUCCUUAUUUGGAAGCAAGACUAGCUCUCUAGCUCAUUGCAGACAGCCCUUCCCCUUUUACCCUCUCUCUCUUACGUGCCCACCUUAUCUAAAGAAAGUUCAAAUGUUUAGCCAACCCGGAUUAGUCCAAAUUGUGCCACCCGACCCCAGCCAAUGGGAAAAGGAUACCGGGGCAGGACUUGCAUCAGGAAUAAAGGCUUUCAUGCCCCUUAGUUCAGGUGUGCUCUCAUGGUGACUGGCCAAGGAGAAGCACCCUCUGCGCAGAAGUAAAAUUGCUUUGCUAAGACUCCUUUGUUUCAGUGUUCAAUUUCCUUAGGGUUUUGAGUGUUAUUCCCAACAUGAGUGGAGGUGCCCCUGACCUUUGACAAAUCUCCUGUUGGUGCUUGGUAACAGUUUGAGGUAACUUUAUGGCUCAAACCAAUAGGACAAUUUGGUGAGGUCUGGAAGCACCCACUCCAGAGAAUCCCUGACCUCCCACUGAUGAUGCUGACAUGAUCGCCUGGCUGAGGCCAUGACUGUCAGGUUUAUCCACUGUAAAAUGACUUCUUCCUCUCCUUUGCACAUUGUACUCCUUGGAAAUAAGUCUCGAA
rnacentral:lncRNA from 1 species